GACAAGAUGGCCGAGGGGUUUAAGGCGCCAGACUUAAGAUUUUACAGAUCUCUGGUAUCGAAAGAUGCGUGGGUUCGAAUCCCGCUCUUGUCA